GAGUUUGAUCCUGGCUCAGAUUGAACGCUGGCGGCAUGCCUUACACAUGCAAGUCGAACGGCAGCGGGCCCUUCGGGGUGCCGGCAGGUGGCGAACGGGUGAGUAACACAUCGGAACGUACCCUGUGGUGGGGGAUAACCCGUCGAAAGACGGGCUAAUACCGCAUAAGCUCUGCGGAGGAAAGCGGGGGACCGUCAAGGCCUCGCGCCACAGGAGCGGCCGAUGUCCGAUUAGCUAGUUAGUAGGGUAAAGGCCUACCAAGGCGACGAUCGGUAGCGGGUCUGAGAGGACGGCCCGCCACACUGGGACUGAGACACGGCCCAGACUCCUACGGGAGGCAGCAGUGGGGAAUCUUGGACAAUGGGGGAAACCCUGAUCCAGCAAUGCCGCGUGGGUGAAGAAGGCCUUCGGGUUGUAAAGCCCUUUUAGCAGGGAAGAAAUCGGCUGGGUGAAUAAUCUAGCUGGAUGACGGUACCUGCAGAAAAAGCACCGGCUAACUACGUGCCAGCAGCCGCGGUAAUACGUAGGGUGCGAGCGUUAAUCGGAUUUACUGGGCGUAAAGCGUGCGCA
rnacentral:rRNA from 1 species